UCUUGACAAAGCAAUCAACAAGCUCAGACUGAAAUACAGAUCAUAUAUCGUUGAAUAUGACAUUGAUGUUGGUGCAGUAUGCUUGCCAAACAUGUUUGGCGGUGAUUUCGGAGAUCAAAUUGGGCGCUAUGCAAUAUUGACUGAUCCUAAGUCCAACAAGGUGUGAAGAUCAGAGGGGAUGCUCCGAUGGUUGGGUCACAUGAUACCAUCUACCUUGAUGUUAUUUACAAUUAGUCCAUGUUUAGAUAAAUUGU
rnacentral:lncRNA from 1 species